AAAAAUUGCUCUGUUUCUUGCUUCCUCUCUCUGUUUUCACUUUUUACAUGCAUAAUUUUCUGUCAGCGUGAAUCAAUUCCCACUUUAUUUGGUGGGUUUUACUGGUUUCUCUGGAACUGUAUGAAAAAAUGCUUCAUUUAGUGUACUGUUGAAUCAUUUUACCUUCCUUCCGGAUUGGUCUCGGAGUUUCAAAUCCAUGUUUCAAACACUGCUUCUUAUUCAACCUUUCCUGCUCUGUUCUUUCGUUGUCUUGAGCAGUUGAGCCAAGCCCACCGCAUUUCAGAGAGAGAGAAAGAGCGCGCGAAGGCAGUUGGGUCAUUACUGCAUUUUGUUGAGGACUUAGCGUCUUGUUUGGCGAGUGUAUUUAAUUGUUGUUUAGCUUCCUUCACGUUUGUGGAUCUCCAAAGAAGAAAAAGACAAGAAAGGAGUGUUGGGUGUGUUAGUUGGAAGGAGGAAAGGGGGGAGUAUACUGCCUGGAUCAACUUUAUUGCAUUAGGAAAAAGCCAAACUAUUCACGCGUUUGAAGUUUUCUCUAGUCAACUUCUCUAAGUUACAGAUCGUCAUAGACACCUGGUUUAUGGUAAAGCAAAGCAUAUACUUUGCUGGUUCUUUUUAACUUACCUUUUCAGCACAUUUGUAGUCUUCAUUUUCCUUUUCGGGUUGAAGUUGGCUUAAAAAGGUUUGAGUGAGAAGGACCCUUUUCUGGAUUUUGUCUGAUUUGUAUUCUUCUUCAAAGAACAGGUCAAAGCUUCCGACUUGUUGUCUAUGGAGGAUUAGUAUUGUUUUUUCUCCAAUAGUUUACGUAGUGGAAUUCUGGAUUUUUUUUUUUCCGUGAGGUCGGUUAUGUUUUGUGAUCAAGGACGUGUUACAGAAGUUUGUCUGUGGAAAGGAAUUUAGAGGGUCAAAUUUGAAGGAAAGAUCGGGAUCUAUUGAUAGUGUUUGCUUGGAAUGGAGGAAAAUGAUAAGGAAAUGCGAUCAUUGGCGCUUACACCAACUUGGUCUGUUGCUACUGUGUUGACGGUCUUCGUGGUUGUUUCUUUGAUUGUGGAGCGCUCAAUUCAUCGCUUAAGCAAUUGGUUGCGGAAAACUAACAGAAAACCUCUGCUUGCUGCUCUGGAGAAAAUGAAAGAAGAGUUGAUGCUGCUUGGCUUCAUCUCACUGCUCCUUACAGCUACAUCUAGCACAAUAGCUAAUUUUUGCAUUCCAUCAAGAUUCUAUGACAGUACUUUUGCUCCAUGCACUCGGUCUGAGAUUGAUGCAGAAACUGAAGACAAUUCUUCCAAAGAAAGAAAACUUUUGAUGGCUUCUGUUUUUCCUCAUCCAUUUAGGAGAGUGUUGAAUGGAGUGGAUCGAAAUACCUGCAAAGAGGGUAAUGAACCAUUUGUUUCAUACGAAGGUCUUGAGCAGUUGCAUCGCUUCAUCUUUGUCAUGGCAAUCACACAUAUAUCUUACAGCUGUUUAACAAUGCUGCUUGCAAUUGUUAAGAUUCAUAGUUGGAGGGUGUGGGAAGAUGAAGCUCUUAUGGACAGGCAUAAUUCCUUAAACGAGAUUGCACGAGAAAAGACACUGCGAAGGCAAACAACUUUUGUCAGACACCAUGUAUCAUCUCCUUUAGCCAAGAAUGCUAUUCUUAUCUGGGUGACAUGUUUCUUCCGGCAAUUUGGGCGUUCAGUUGUUCGCUCUGACUACCUUACACUUCGCAAAGGCUUUAUCAUGAAUCACAACCUUACAUUAAAAUAUGAUUUUCACAGCUACAUGAUUCGUACCAUGGAAGAAGAAUUUCAGAGGAUUGUUGGUGUUAGCGCUCCUUUGUGGGGAUUUGUUGUUGCUUUCAUGCUGUUCAAUGUGAAAGGAUCUAAUCUCUAUUUCUGGAUAGCCAUCAUUCCCAUUACUCUCGUUCUUCUGGUGGGUGCAAAACUGCAGCAUGUUAUUGCAACUUUGGCGCUGGAGACUGCAGGCUUAGCUGAAUAUUCUUCGGGGAAAUUGAGGCCCCGAGAUGAUCUCUUCUGGUUCAAGAAGCCAGAGCUCUUGUUAUCCCUUAUUCAUUUUAUUCUCUUCCAGAAUGCAUUUGAACUGGCUUCAUUCUUCUGGUUCUGGUGGCAAUUUGGGUACAAUUCAUGCUUCAUCAGGAACCAUUUUCUGGUGUACCUGAGACUUAUUUUGGGGUUUGCCGGACAGUUUCUCUGCAGCUACAGCACUCUACCACUAUAUGCAUUGGUCACUCAGAUGGGAACAAACUAUAAAGCGGCUCUAAUCCCGCAGAGGAUUAGAGAGACAAUUCAUGGCUGGGGCAAAGCUGCUAGGCGAAAAAGAAGGCACGGACAUUUUGCUGAUGAUUCAACCAUACGAACAGAAACCAGCACGGUUGUGUCUGUGGAGGAAGACGAUCGUGAAAUGCUUGAUAUCCCUGAAACAGCCCUUGACAUAGACAGUGAACUUGAGUUGCAACUGGGCUCAACUACAAUUAAUCCCUCGCCGGUUGCCAACGAAGUUUCAAGUAGGAUUGGCACACCUCUGCUUCGACCAUCUGCUUCCAUUGCUUCAACAACCAUGUUGAAUUUCCCAGCAGAAACUAUUCCUAGAUCGUGUUCAUUACCAGUUCGAAGAGAAUAAUAGAAGGUCAACAUUAGUUUUCUCUUAUAAGAUCCUGACACUGGAGAGUUAACAUAUUUAUACAAUACUUGCAGGUUGUAGGUGUAAGUGAAUAUUGUGCAAACACAGAAAUUUACACAUCUUUGUAGCUUUCAGAAUCUUGUGGUAGAGUCAGCCAUGAGGGUGUCCAAUGCAAAGUAUGAUGGGGCGGGUUCUUGGGCAAUCCAGACGUCUUCUGUUACAUGAUCUCUGUUGGAUUCACCAGCUUGGUGACUAUCUGUCUUCAUUUGACGAU